rnacentral:lncRNA from 7 species
GGCCCCCAUCAAUCAUCCGCCACGGCCCAUACAGUCCCUCAUGGACCCCAUACAAUCCCUGCAGCCCCCAUCAUCCCAAUGGUCUCCACCAUCCCUCACGGCCCCCAUACAGUCCCUCAUGGCCCCCAUCAUCCCAAUGGCCCCCAUCAAUCAUCCACCACAGCCCAUACAGUCCCUCAUGGACCCCAUCAACCCCAUGGUCCCCAUCAUCCCUCAUGGUCUCCAUCACCCCUCAUGGACCCCACCAUCCCUCAUGGCCUCCAUCAUCCCAAUGGCCCCCAUCAUCCACCACGGCCCAUACAAUCCCUCAUGGCCUCCGUCACCCCUCACGGUCCCCAUCCUCCUAAUGGCCUCCAUCAUCCCUCAUGGUCCCCACCAUCCCUCAUGCCCCCCAUCAUCCCAAUGGUCUCCACCAUCCCUCAUGGCCUCCAUACAGUCCCUCAUGGUCCCCAUCAUCCCUGCAGCCCCCAUCAACCCAAUGGUCUCCACCAUCCCUCAUAGUCUCCAUAAUCCCAAUGGUCUCCAACAUCCUUCAUGGCCCCCAUCAUCCCAAUGCUCUCCAUCAUCCCAAUGGCCCCCAUCAAUCAUCCACCACGGCCCAUACAGUCCCUCAUGGCCUCCAUCAACCCAAUGGUGUCCACCAUCCCUCAUGGCCCCCAUCAUCCCUCAUGGUCUCCAUCAUCCUUCACGGCCCCCAUCAUCCCAAUGCUCUCCGUCAUCCCAAUGGCCCCCAUCAAUCAUCCACCACGGCCCAUACAGUCCCUCAUGGCCUCCACCAUCCCUCACAGUCCCCAUCACCCCUCAUGGUCCCCAUCCUCCUAAUGGCCUCCAUCAUCCCUCAUGGUCCCCACCAUCCCUCAUGCCCCCCAUCAUCCCAAUGGUCUCCACCAUCCCUCAUGGCCUCCAUACAGUCCCUCAUGGUCCCCAUCAUCCCUGCAGCCCCCAUCAACCCAAUGGUCUCCACCAUCCCUCAUAGUCUCCAUAAUCCCAAUGGUCUCCAACAUCCUUCAUGGCCCCCAUCAUCCCAAUGCUCUCCAUCAUCCCAAUGGCCCCCAUCAAUCAUCCACCACGGCCCAUACAGUCCCUCAUGGACCCCAUACAAUCCCUGCAGCCCCCAUCAACCCAAUGGUCUCCACCAUCCACCACAGUCUCCAUCAACCCAAUGCUCUCCAUCAUCCCAAUGGUCCCCACCAUCCCAAUGGCCCCCACCAUCCCAAUGGUCCCCAUCAAUCAUCCACCAUGGCCCAUACAGUCCCUCAUGGACCCCAUAAUCAACCCAAUGGUCUCCACCGUCCCUCACGGCCCC